rnacentral:rRNA from 1 species
GACGAACGCUGGCGGCGUGCUUAACACAUGCAAGUCGAACGGAAAGGCCCUGCUCUUGUGGGGUGCUCGAGUGGCGAACGGGUGAGUAACACGUGAGUAACCUGCCCUUGACUUUGGGAUAACUUUAGGAAACUGGGGCUAAUACCGGAUAGGAGCUCCUGCUGCAUGGUGGGGGUUGGAAAGUUUCGGCGGUUGGGGAUGGACUCGCGGCUUAUCAGCUUGUUGGUGGGAUAGUGGCUUACCAAGGCUUUGACGGGUAGCCGGCCUGAGAGGGUGACCGGCCACAUGGGGACUGAGAUACGGCCCAGACUCCUACGGGAGGCAGCAGUGGAGAAUAUUGCACAAUGGGCGGAAGCCUGAUGCAGCAACGCCGCGUGCGGGAUGACGGCCUUCGAGUUGUAAACCGCUUUCGCCUGUGACGAAGCGUGAGUGACGGUAAUGGGUAAAGAAGCACCGGCUAACUACGUG